rnacentral:rRNA from 1 species
UGGGUAAUCUGCCCUUCUCAUCGGAAUAAGCGUUGGAAACGACGUCUAAUGCCGAAUACGACCUCCUUUCGCAUGAUCGGAGGUGGAAAGCUCCGGCGGAGAAGGAUGAGCUCGCGGCCUAUCAGCUAGUUGGUGUGGGUAAUGGCCCACAAGGCGACGACGGGUAGCCGGCCUGAGAGGGUGACCGGCCACACUGGGACUGAGACACGGCCCAGACUCCGUACGGGAGCAGCAGG